AACGAACGCUGGCGGCAUGCCUAACACAUGCAAGUCGAACGAGCCCUUCGGGUCUUGUGGCGCACGGGUGCGUAACGCGUGGGAACCUGCCCUUAGGUUCGGAAUAACUCCCCGAAAGGGGUGCUAAUACCGGACCAUGUCUUCGGACCAAAGAUUUAUCGCGUUUGGAUGUGCCCGCGUUGGAUUCGCUUGUUGGUAGGGUAAAAGCCUACCACGGCGACGAUCCAUAGCUGGUCUGAGAGGCUGAUCAGCCACACUGGGACUGGGACACGGCCCAGAAUCCUACGCGAGGCGGGAGAGGGGGACGUUGCAAAGCCGCCGAAAGCAUGAUGCACCAAUGCCGGGAGAGUGAUGAAGGCAGUGGAGUUGUAAAGCGCUAGUAACCGUGAUGAUAAUGACGGUACCGGGAGAAUAAGCUCCGGCUAACUCCGUG
rnacentral:rRNA from 1 species